rnacentral:rRNA from 1 species
GGAAUAUUGGUCAAUGGUCGUAAGACUGAACCAGCCAAGUAGCGUGCAGGAUGACGGCCCUACGGGUUGUAAACUGCUUUUAUAGGGGGAUAAUAUGCGGGACGUGUCCUGUAUUGCAGGUACCCUAUGAAUAAGGACCGGCUAAUUCCGUGCCAGCAGCCGCGGUAAUACGGAAGGUCCGGGCGUUAUCCGGAUUUAUUGGGUUUAAAGGGAGCGCAGGCUGAUUAUUAAGCGUGACGUGAAAUGUAGCCGCUCAACGGCUGAACUGCGUCGCGAACUGGUAGUCUUGAGUGAGUUCGAUGUUGGCGGAAUUCGUGGUGUAGCGGUGAAAUGCUUAGAUAUCACGAAGAACUCCGAUUGCGAAGGCAGCCAACAAGGCCUUUACUGACGCUAAAGCUCGAAGGUGCGGGUAUCGAACA